rnacentral:rRNA from 1 species
GACGAACGCUGGCGGCGUGCUUAACACAUGCAAGUCGAACGGGUUCGGAGGUUAGAAGACAGAGGUCAGAGGUAGGAAUUAAAAAUAGAAAUCGGCUCUGCCGAUUUCAACAAAAAUUCCGACAUCCGACUUCCGACUUCUGACUUCCGAUACUAGUGGCGGACGGGUGAGUAACGCGUGGGCAACCUACCCAUAAGCGGGGGAUAACAGUUGGAAACGACUGCUAAUACCGCAUAAGCUAUUAAGGUCGCAUGACCAUAAUAGUAAAGGUAGCGAAAGCUAUCACUUAUGGAUGGGCCCGCGUCUGAUUAGCUAGUUGGUGGGGUAGCAGCCUACCAAGGCAACGAUCAGUAGCCGGCCUGAGAGGGGUGGACGGCCACACUGGGACUGAGGCACGGCCCACGACUCCUACGGGAGGCAGCAGUGGGGAAUAUUGCGCAAUGGGGGAAACCCUGACGCAGCGACGCCGCGUGAGCGAAGAAGGCCUUAGGGUCGUAAAGCUCUGUUGUAAGGGACG